rnacentral:rRNA from 1 species
AUUGGUAGAGGAGGAGUGAUCGAGCCUGCGCUUUAGUGCGCGGCGAGGUUGUUCUUUUUCGUUUCGCCGAUAAUUCUUUUCACACACUGGAGUUUUUUUUCUACAGUAUCGGAGGUAGCAAUACCGCCAAAACAAAACACAAACAAUUUUUUUUUUUUUUUUUUAUUUGUCAUUUCAAAAUCUGCUUUUUUGCAGUAACCAAAAUAUUCAAAACUUUCAACAACGGAUCUCUUGGUUCUCGCAUCGAUGAAGAACGCAGCGAAAUGCGAUACGUAAUGUGAAUUGCAGAAUUCCGUGAAUCAUCGAAUCUUUGAACGCACAUUGCGCCCCUUGGUAUUCCAGGGGGCAUGCCUGUUUGAGCGUCAUUUCCUUCUCAAAUACUUGUAUUUGGUUGUGAGUGACACUCAGUCUUGCAUUGAGUUUACUUGAAAUUGUUGGCCGUAGCGGUUGUUGCAGCUUUUAGUUUUUGUGUAAUGGUAUGAUUUCUUUUCUAUUUAACAGGAUGCUUGAGCAUGUCGUAUUUGGUUUUUCCAACUCCGGCAGACUCGGUAUCUUGGAAGAGCGUACUGGCAUUUGAACAUUGAACUGUCGACUGUGGCAAACAGUACUCUUUUAGUUUGACCUCAAAUCAGGUAGGAAUACCCGCUGAACUUUAGCAUAUCAAUAGCCGGAGGAA